UGAGGAAUAUUGGUCAAUGGACGGAAGUCUGAACCAGCCAAGUCGCGUGAAGGACGACAGCCCUAUGGGUUGUAAACUUCUUUAGUCGGAGAGUAAAGGACUGUACGCGUACGGUUUUGCAAGUAUCCGAAGAAUAAGCAUCGGCUAAUUCCGUGCCAGCAGCCGCGGUAAUACGGAAGAUGCGAGCGUUAUCCGGAUUUAUUGGGUUUAAAGGGUGCGUAGGCGGGAUAUUAAGUCAGCGGUGAAAGUUUGUGGCUCAACCAUAAAAUUGCCGUUGAAACUGGUAUUCUAGAGUGUAAAAGAGGUAUGCGGAAUGCGUGGUGUAGCGGUGAAAUGCAUAGAUAUCACGCAGAACUCCGAUUGCGAAGGCAGCAUACUGGGCUACAACUGACGCUGAAGC
rnacentral:rRNA from 1 species